GACGAACGCUGGCGGCGUGCUUAACACAUGCAAGUCGAACGGAAAGGCCCUGCUUUUGUGGGGUGCUCGAGUGGCGAACGGGUGAGUAACACGUGAGUAACCUGCCCUUGACUUUGGGAUAACUUCAGGAAACUGGGGCUAAUACCGGAUAGGAGCUCCUGCUGCAUGGUGGGGGUUGGAAAGUUUCGGCGGUUGGGGAUGGACUCGCGGCUUAUCAGCUUGUUGGUGGGGUAGUGGCUUACCAAGGCUUUGACGGGUAGCCGGCCUGGGUGGGUGACCGGCCACAUGGGGACUGAGAUACGGCCCAGAGGCCUACGGGAGGCAGCAGUGGGGAAUAUUGCACAAUGGGCGGAAGCCUGAUGCAGCAACGCCGCGUGCGGGAUGACGGCCUUCGGGUUGUAAACCGCUUUCGCCUGUGACGAAGCGUGAGUGACGGUAAUGGGUAAAGAAGCACCGGCUAACUACGUG
rnacentral:rRNA from 1 species